GACGAACGCUGGCGGCGUGCUUAACACAUGCAAGUCGAACGGAAAGGCCCUGCUUUUGUGGGGUGCUCGAGUGGCGAACGGGUGAGUAACACGUGAGUAACCUGCCCUUGACUUUGGGAUAACUUCAGGAAACUGGGGCUAAUACCGGAUAGAAGCUCCUGCUGCAUGGUGGGGGUUGGAGAGUUUCGGCGGUUGGGGAUGGACUCGCGGCUUAUCAGCUUGUUGGUGGGGUAGUGGCUUACCAAGGCUUUGACGGGUAGCCGGCCUGAGAGGGUGACCGGCCACAUUGGGACUGAGAUACGGCCCAGACUCCUACGGGAGGCAGCAGUGGGGAAUAUUGCACAAUGGGCGGAAGCCUGAUGCAGCAACGCCGCGUGCGGGAUGACGGCCUUCGGGUUGUAAACCGCUUUCGCCUGUGACGAAGCGUGAGUGACGGUAAUGGGUAAAGAAGCACCGGCUAACUACGUG
rnacentral:rRNA from 1 species